UACGAAGGGGGCGAGCGUUGUUCGGAUUUACUGGGCGUAAAGGGCGCGCAGGCGGCGCAUUUUGUCAGGCGUGAAAGCCCCGGGCUUAACCUGGGAACUGCGUUUGAUACGGAUGGGCUAGAGUUCGGGAGAGGAGAGUGGAAUUCCCAGUGUAGAGGUGAAAUUCGUAGAUAUUCGGAAGAACACCAGUGGCGAAGGCGGCUCACUGGUCCGGUACUGACGCUGAUGUGCGAAAGCGUGGGGAGCAAACAGG
rnacentral:rRNA from 1 species